rnacentral:rRNA from 1 species
GAUGAACGCUGGCGGCGUGCCUAAUACAUGCAAGUCGAGCGAACAGGCGAGGAGCUUGCUCCUCUGACGUUAGCGGCGGACGGGUGAGUAACACGUGGAUAACCUACCUAUAAGACUGGGAUAACUUCGGGAAACCGGAGCUAAUACCGGAUAAUAUAUUAAACCGCAUGGUUCAAUAGUGAAAGACGGUUUUGCUGUCACUUAUAGAUGGAUCCGCGCCGCAUUAGCUAGUUGGUAAGGUAACGGCUUACCAAGGCAACGAUGCGUAGCCGACCUGAGAGGGUGAUCGGCCACACUGGAACUGAGACACGGUCCAGACUCCUACGGGAGGCAGCAGUAGGGAAUCUUCCGCAAUGGGCGAAAGCCUGACGGAGCAACGCCGCGUGAGUGAUGAAGGUCUUCGGAUCGUAAAACUCUGUUAUUAGGGAAGAACAAAUGUGUAAGUAACUAUGCACGUCUUGACGGUACCCAAUCAGAAAGCCACGGCUAACUACGUG